CGUUUAGCGUUCUUCUGGUUUUCUUUGCCUGAGCGCACUNAUAUCUAUAUAACGACUUUACCCGUGGAGGGGAAUUGCUCGGGGAAACUCAAAUUAAUUCCGAUACGUCCUACGGGUCUUUAUUGGCCCUUACUGCUCUCACUAUUUGAUGAGCCUUUGUCGGAUUACCUUUUUGGUGGGGUAAAGGCCUACCGAGGAGACGAUCUGUAGCUGGGCUGAUAGGUUGAUCAGCCACACCGGGACUGAGACACGGCCCGGACUCCUACGGGAGGCAUCAAUGGGGAAUAUUGGACAAUGGGUGAAACCUUGAUCCCGCCAUGCCGCGAGUGUGAAGAAGGCCUUUUGGUUGUAAAGCACUUUAAGCAGUGAACAAUACCAUAUGGUUAAUACCCAUAUGCGAUGACAUUAGCUGCAGAAUAAGCACCGGCUAACUCUGUGCCCAGCCAGCCGCGGUAAUACAGNAGGGAGCAAGCGUUAAUCGGAAUUACUGGGCGUAAAGCGAGCGUAGGUGGGCUUGAUUAAGUCAGAUGUGAAAUCCCCNGGGCUUAACCUGGGAACUGCAUCUGAUACUGUUAAGCUAGAGUAGGUGAGAAGGAAAGUAGAAUUCCAGGUGUAGCGGUGAAAUGCGUAGAGAUCUGGAGGAAUACCGAUGGCGAAGGCAGCUUCCUGGCAUCAUACUGACACUGAGGUUCGAAAGCGUGGGGAGCAAACAGGAUUAGAUACCCUGGUAGUCCACGCCGUAAACGAUGUCUACUAGUCGUUAGGUCCCUAGAGGACUUAGUGACGCAGCUAACGCAAUAAGUAGACCGCCUGGGGAGUACCGCCCGCAAGGUCAAAACUCAAAAGAAAUGACCGAGGGCCCGAACAAACNGGUGGAGCAUGUGGUUUAAAUUCGAUGCACCACGAGAAGACCCUUACCCGGGUCUUUGACAAUCACCANNGUAUUCUUGUAGAGAUACCCACAGUAGAACCUUCUGGAACAGUGAUACAGGUACAACAUGGCUGUGGUCCACUCGUGUCGUUAGAUCUUGGGCUUAUAUCCGCCACGAACGCAACCCUUUUCCUUUGUUACCAGCCGGUUAAGCCGGCAAUUUUAAGGGUACAGCCAAACCAAACGGAAAGAAACGGGGGAAGAAGCCAAGACAUCAAGCCCCUUACGGCCAGGGACACCCACGUGGGACAAUGGUGGGUCCAGAGGGCAUGAACACACAAACCCCAGUCCAAUAUCGCAAACCCAAUUGUAUUCCAGAGUUGGGGGCAAUUAACACGNCCAAAGAUUAAAGAGGUAUUAUUCACGGAUCUAUUGGUAAAGAGGAAUACGAUCCCGGUCCAGUAAACACGGCACGUCGCCCCAUGGGGUGAGAUCCACCAGAACUANUAGGAGAGCUUUAGAGGCCG
rnacentral:rRNA from 1 species